UACGUAGGGGGCAAGCGUUGUCCGGAUUUAUUGGGCGUAAAGAGCGUGUAGGCGGCCAUACAGGUCAGCUGUGAAAACUCGAGGCUCAACCUCGAGACAUCGGUUGAAACCGUAUGGCUAGAGUCCGGAAGAGGAGAGUGGAAUUCCCGGUGUAGCGGUGAAAUGCGCAGAUAUCGGGAAGAACACCUAUGGCGAAGGCAGCUCUCUGGGACGGUACUGACGCUGAGACGCGAAAGCGUGGGGAGCGAACAGG
rnacentral:rRNA from 1 species